GAUGAACGCUGGCGGCGUGCCUAACACAUGCAAGUCGAACGAAGCAAUUAAGAUGAAGUUUUCGGAUGGAAUCUUGAUUGACUGAGUGGCGGACGGGUGAGUAACGCGUGGAUAACCUGCCUCACACUGGGGGAUAACAGUUAGAAAUGACUGCUAAUACCGCAUAAGCGCACAGUGCCGCAUGGCAGUGUGUGAAAAACUCCGGUGGUGUGAGAUGGAUCCGCGUCUGAUUAGCCAGUUGGCGGGGUAACGGCCCACCAAAGCGACGAUCAGUAGCCGACCUGAGAGGGUGACCGGCCACAUUGGGACUGAGACACGGCCCAAACUCCUACGGGAGGCAGCAGUGGGGAAUAUUGCACAAUGGGCGAAAGCCUGAUGCAGCGACGCCGCGUGAGUGAAGAAGUAUUUCGGUAUGUAAAGCUCUAUCAGCAGGGAAGAAAAUGACGGUACCUGACUAAGAAGCCCCGGCUAACUACGUG
rnacentral:rRNA from 1 species